GGCGGCAGGCCUAACACAUGCAAGUCGAACGGUAACAGGAAUCAAGCUUGUUUAUUUGCUGACGAGUGGCGGACGGGUGAGUAAUGUCUGGGAAACUGCCUGAUGGAGGGGGAUAACUACUGGAAACGGUAGCUAAUACCGCAUAACGUCGCAAGACCAAAGAGGGGGACCUUCGGGCCUCUUGCCAUCGGAUGUGCCCAGAUGGGAUUAGCUAGUAGGUGGGGUAAAGGCUCACCUAGGCGACGAUCCCUAGCUGGUCUGAGAGGAUGACCAGCCACACUGGAACUGAGACACGGUCCAGACUCCUACGGGAGGCAGCAGUGGGGAAUAUUGCACAAUGGGCGCAAGCCUGAUGCAGCCAUGCCGCGUGUAUGAAGAAGGCCUUCGGGUUGUAAAGUACUUUCAGCGGGGAGGAAGGGAGUAAAGUUAAUACCUUUGCUCAUUGACGUUACCCGCAGAAGAGCACCGCUACUCCGUGCCAGCAGC
rnacentral:rRNA from 1 species